rnacentral:rRNA from 1 species
UUCCGGUUGAUCCUGCCGGACCCUACUGCUAUCGGGGUGGGACUAAGACAUGCAAGUUGUCAUGGUAAGACGCGGCAGACGGCUCAGUAACGCGUAGUCAACCUACCCUAUGGACGGGGAUAACCUCGGGAAACUGAGAAUAAUACCCGAUAGAACAUUAUGCCUGGAAUGGUUUAUGUUUCAAAUAAUUUAUUGCCGUAGGAUGGGACUGCGGCCUAUCAGUUUGUUGGUGAGGUAAUGGCCCACCAAGACUAUUACAGGUACGGGCUCUGAGAGGAGUAGCCCGGAGAUGGGUACUGAGACACGGACCCAGGCCCUAUGGGGCGCAGCAGGCGAGAAAACUUUGCAAUGUGCGAAAGCACGACAAGGUUAAUCCGAGUGGUUUCUGCUAAAGGAACCUUUUGUCGGUCCUAGAAACACCGAUGAAUAAGGGGUGGGCAAGUUCUGGUGUCAGCCGCCGCGGUAAAACCAGCACCUCAAGUGGUCAGGAUGAUUAUUGGGCCUAAAGCAUCCGUAGCCGGCUCUAUAAGUUUUCGGUUAAAUCUGUACGCUCAACGUACAGGCUGCCGGGAAUACUGCAGAGCUAGGGAGUGGGAGAGGUAGACGGUACUCGGUAGGAAGGGGUAAAAUCCUUUGAUCUAUUGAUGACCACCUGUGGCGAAGGCGGUCUACCAGAACACGUCCGACGGUGAGGGAUGAAAGCUGGGGGAGCGAACCGGAUUAGAUACCCGGGUAGUCCCAGCUGUAAACGAUGCGGGCUAGGUGUUAGGGUGGCUACGUGCCACUCUAGUGCCGCAGCGAAAGCAUUAAGCCCGCCGCCUGGGGAGUACGGCCGCAAGGCUGAAACUUAAAGGAAUUGGCGGGGGAGCACCACAAGGCGUGAAGCGUGCGGUUUAAUUGGAGUGAACGCCGGA